GAUAAGUCUCUUGGGAAAUCCGGCAGCUCAACUGUUGGGCUUUCAGGAGAUACUGUCUGGCUCGAGGCCGGGAGAGGUGAGAGGUACUUCAGGGGUAGGGGUGAAAUCUUGUAAUCCUUGAAGGACCACCAGUGGCGAAGGCGUCUCACCAGAACGGACCUGACGGCAAGGGACGAAAGCUAGGGGCACGAACCGGAUUAGAUACCCGGGUAGUCCUAGCCGUAAACGAUACUCGCUAGGUGUCGGCCACGGUGCGACCGUGGUCGGUGCCGUAGGGAAGCCGUGAAGCGAGCCACCUGGGAAGUACGGCCGCAAGGCUGAAACUUAAAGGAAUUGGCGGGGGAGCACCACAACGGGUGGAGCUUGCGGUUUAAUUGGAUUCAACGCCGGAAAUCUUACCGGGACCGACAGCAAUAUGAAGGCCAGGCUGAAGACUUUGCCGGAUUAGCUGAGAGGUGGUGCAUGGCCGUCGUCAGUUCGUACUG
rnacentral:rRNA from 1 species